rnacentral:rRNA from 1 species
GACGAACGCUGGCGGCGUGCUUAACACAUGCAAGUCGAACGGAAAGGCCCUGCUUUUGUGGGGUGCUCGAGUGGCGAACGGGUGAGUAACACGUGAGUAACCUGCCCUUGACUUUGGGAUAACUUCAGGAAACUGGGGCUAAUACCGGAUUGGAGCUCCUGCUGCAUGGUGGGGGUUGGAAAGUUUCGGCGGUUGGGGAUGGACUCGCGGCUCAUCAGCUUGUUGGUGGGGUAGUGGCUUACCAAGGCUUUGACGGGUAGCCGGCCUGAGAGGGUGACCGGCCACAUUGGGACUGAGAUACUGCCCAGACUCCUACGGGAGGCAGCAGUGGGGAAUAUUGCACAAUGGGCGGAAGCCUGAUGCAGCAACGCCGCGUGCGGGAUGACGGCCUUCGGGUUGUAAACCGCUUUCUCCUGUGACGAAGCGUGAGUGACGGUAAUGGGUAAAGAAGCACCGGCUAACUACGUG